rnacentral:rRNA from 1 species
GACGUAGGGGACGAGCGUUGUCCGGAUUCAUUGGGCGUAAAGCGCGCGUAGGCGGUUUGGUAAGUCGGGUGUGAAAACCAGAGGCUCAACCUCUGGCCUGCAUCCGAUACUGCCCGACUAGAGGUAGGUAGGGGAGAUCGGAAUUCCUGGUGUAGCGGUGAAAUGCGCAGAUAAUCAGGAGGAACACCGGUGGCGAAGGCGGGAUCUCUGGGCCGAUAUUGACGCUGAGGAGCGAAAGCGUGGGGAGCGAACAGG